CAAAAUUUAGGGGUGUUACAAAGGGUCACAAGGUCGCCGAGUGCCCUCAGCAAGCCAAUCAAAGGGCAUUGCCGCCACCCCCAGGAGCCGGAGGAGC